GGAGAAUAAGUUGAAGUUCCUGCACUUGUAAUCCAACAGUUUUACUAUCUACCAUUUUAUAGUCUAAAAACUUUGCGACCACAAAUUUUUUCAAGCAUGCAUCUUCUCUCUUAUAUUUCUUCUCAAGUGCAUUCCACAACUCUUUUGAAGUUGUUAUUGCACUAUAGACAUUAUAUAAGUCAUCCUCUAAAGCACUCAAACUGUAACCUUU
rnacentral:misc_RNA from 1 species